GAUGAACGCUAGCGGCAGGCUUAACACAUGCAAGUCGAGGGGCAACACGGGUAGCAAUACCUGGUGGCGACCGGCGCAAGGGUGCGUAACGCGUGAGCAACAUGCCCUAUACAGGGGGAUAAUCCAGGGAAACUUGGUCUAGUAUCCCAUAGUAUUUAGAGGUGGCAUCACCACUAAAUUAAAGCUUCGGUGGUAUAGGAUUGGCUCGCGUGACAUUAGCUGGAUGGUGGGGUAACGGCUCACCAUGGCGAUGAUGUCUAGGGGUUCUGAGAGGAAGACCCCCCACACUGGGACUGAGACACGGCCCAGACUCCUACGGGAGGCAGCAGUGAGGAAUAUUGGACAAUGGAUGGAAAUCUGAUCCAGCCAUGCCGCGUGCAGGAAGACGGCCCUAUGGGUUGUAAACUGCUUUUAUAUGGGAGCAAUAAGGUUUACGCGUAGACCGAUGAGAGUACCAUAUGAAUAAGCAUCGGCUAACUCCGUG
rnacentral:rRNA from 1 species